rnacentral:ribozyme from 13 species
AGACUACGGGUAUUUAUAAAAAAACAAAAAGAGAAGGAGUAAAAAAGAAGGGAAAAAAAAGGGAAGAAAGUACAUGAAAAAAAUUCCUCAUCUCCACUUGUUUGUUUGAUUGUUUGGUCGUUCCUCC